UAAUUCAAGGUUAUCUCUGCCUUGUUCAAUUCUUGCCAAUGUGACCAAUGAUGAUGUUGGGUGAAAAUCAUUGCGGAUACUGUGGUCCGCAGUUCCAUUUGUGCCUGCGGGUGGUUGCCUUUGGGACCAUAGGAGAAUUUUUUCCCGUGAAUGAAAGAUGCACAAACAGGGUUUUUCGAUCCUAUACAGGUGGAACUGUUGGCCAUGAGAGAGCAAUGCACUGUAAUUAUACAUUCACUGUAAGAUAAACUCAUUAACAAUAUAUUGAAUAAGAUUGUAAUUGUGUUAUCUACAUUAACAUUUUAUCUUCACUGGUUCAUAAGUAGACUUCUACCCAUACAAUUCUCUUUAAGAAAAUCAUUCCUAAUUAGAAAAUAAGUGUACUUAUUUUAGGGGGGAUAUGUAGAGGAAUAUAAUUAUAUUAAUAGUUAUGUUGUUUGGUGGGUUUGCACUAAGAUAUGUUUUAACCUAAAAGAAAUGUAUUGUGUCAAAUGGAUUGGGAUUAUGUAAGAGCGGAAAUACUCUUUAUGGAGUUGUUUUUUACUGAGGAAAUCUUGGUGCCAUAAAAGGUCAAUCUGACUUAGCCUCCCAACUUUCCUGGCGUGCGAAGCCUAAGUGACACUGAAAGAAUGUCUGGGAAAUAAACUGUUUGGAUAGAUAAGAAUAAUAAUUGGCUUGUUUUGCACUUUUGAAACGGAGCAGAUGUUGGAGGUCAAUAGGUCUGAAUAUUCCCAAAGAAACUCCAAUACACAUUCAUUUAAAAGCUGAUGGAAUUCUUACGUAAGGACACACGUCAAACACGGGCAGUAAUGCUAUUGGUCAAAACUUACCAACUUACACCAAUGAAAAUGAGCCCAAAACAGACUGACUCUAAGAAUAUGGGGAGGUUUGGGGAGAUUUGACUUUGUACUGUAAGAUGAUCUGUGGAACAGUGUAAUAAAUCUCCACCCGCCGUGGCCUGCAG